AAAGAAGGACCAUCUCCAUCCACUGCACUCCACCCAGACUCUCAGCCAGGUCUGAUUUAGGAGCUUCAAGCUCAUAAGACUGGGAGGGAGGGAACUCAGUAGUGUUUGCCCUGACACGGUUGCUGGGUGGAGCUGACUGGUUGUAGGAGGAGAGACACUUCAACAGCCAUCCUGACACCACAGCCCAGGGGUUGGUUACUUACUUCUGUCUCCAGCAGUCAGACAAGCACCAUGAAGAGGCUGUUGUGCUCUCUGCUGGGACUGCUGUGCAUUAAGGUUUGCUGGGUGAAAGGGCAGCAAGUGAAGCAGAGUCCUGUGUCCUUGGUGCUGCAGGAAGGAGAGAGUGCAGAGCUGCAGUGCAACUUUUCCACCAAUGCAAACCAAAUGCAGUGGUUUUACCAAAGUCCUGGAGGACACCUCAUCAGCCUGUUUUACAAUCCUUCUGGAACAAAAAAGAGUGGAAGACUGACAUCCAAAACAGUAGCUAAAGAAUAUCGGAGCUCUUUGAGCAUUUCCUCCUGUCAGACCACAGACUCAGGCACUUAUUUCUGUGCUGUGGAUCCACAGUGCUCCACACACACCUGCAGCCAGUACACAAACCUUCAGCUGGAUGGGUGUGGUCUUUCUCAGAUACAACGCACCCGGAAAUCCCAACAGAACAUCUAGUUUAUGUCUCCUUUAUAUUUUUAUCUUAAUUUCUCAAUAUAUAUUCUCUCCUAAAGCAGGAAUGUUCAUCUUAGAACUAACAGAAAAGCUGAUGGGAGGACUGAAUUAACGCGAGCAUUUAAGCCACAAUUUGCUGAAGCUGUAAGCAGUAGGGAGCAAAGGGAAAGGAAGGCAAAAGGCAGUCGUCCACAUAAAACGGCUGUGGACAGGGAUGCAGCUCAGUUGUGUCUCAAGCACAUUCAGUCCUGACCACGUGGGCCACAGCAAGAAUGAACACAUGCAUCUGAUCUACUGAUGCAGUAGGAAAUCGUUUCCAAGUGUUCCUAUGCUCUUAAACAGAUGUGAGUAGAACUUAAAGGUGUUUUUUUUUUUCCCUCACCUGCCUCAGACCUGUUUAUAUUCUUGGAGUUUCUCUGGACUAGGAACCUGCCCUAUUCUGAAGAGUGAUCUCUGUAUGUUUAAGCAUAUGGCCUUGGCUGACUGGAUGGUUGUGAGUUCUCCUUGUU